rnacentral:lncRNA from 1 species
AACUUGACGACAUCUGGAAUGAACUACAAUCCAGAAAUGGAGGGCACACCUCUGAUGCAGAUCUCCGGGCUGAAAGACACAGGUUUCUGACCACGAUAUUGACAUGGGAUAACACACGCUUUUGAUCCAGAUCUUGAGGCAUAGUGGCCAUGAAGAGCUUAGACCCAGGCAAGGUAGCAUAUCCCAGGAGACUGAGCCAAGCAGAUAUCUGAGUUCAAGGCCAGCUGGGGAUAGAGCAAGUUCCAAAUCCAGGUGUGUUGGUACACACUUUUAAUCUGGGCCAUACUUUCUGUUGGAGAUGUACACAAGGACAACGGAAGAUGGAAGGCUCACUUUUCUUUGCCAGCUUGAACAUACUUGCCAGCACCUCUGUUGGAACCUACUUCUUUGGGAUUCCGGCUUAUGCAGAAGACCAGCUGCACUACCUAGCCUCGUGGGAUGGAGCAACAACCAGAUUCUUGGACUUUCCAUUCACAGCUGCCCAUUGUUGUUGGGUUAGUUGGACUGCAGCCU